UCGGCCGACCUCAGAUCAGGUAAGAC
rnacentral:rRNA from 5 species